rnacentral:rRNA from 1 species
CCUACGGGUGACAGCAGUGAGGAAUAUUGGUCAAUGGGUGAGAGCCUGAACCAGCCAAGUAGCGUGAGGGAGUACUGCCCUAUGGGUUGUAAACUGCUUUUGUCGGGGAGUAAAAGCCGGACGUGUCCGGCUGUUAGAGUUACCGAAGAAAAAGCAACGGCUAACUUCGGUCCAGCAGCCGCGGUAAUACGGAGGAUGUGGGCGUUUUCCGGGUUUAUUGGGUUUAAAGGGUGCGCAGGCGGAUUUUUAAGUCAGCGGGUAAAUCGUGGGGCUCAACCCCGUCCAGCCGUUGAAACUGGGGAUCUAGAGUGUGCGGGAGGUAGGCGGAAUGCGUGGUGUAGCGGUGAAAUGCAUAGAUAUCACGCAGAACCCCGAUUGCGAAGGCAGCAUACCGGUGCACAACUGACGCUCAGGCACGAAGGCGUGGGUAUCGAACAGGAUUAGAUACCCCUGUAGUC